CGGACGGGUGAGUAACGCGUAAAGAACUUGCCUUUAGACUGGGAUAACAGAGGGAAACUUCUGAUAAUACUGGAUAAGUUAGUAUAUCGCAUGAUAUGCAAAUGAAAGCUACGGCACUAAAGGAGAGCUUUGCGUCCUAUUAGCUAGUUGGUAAGGUAAGAGCUUACCAAGGCGAUGAUAGGUAGCCGGCCUGAGAGGGUGGACGGCCACAAGGGGACUGAGAUACGGCCCUUACUCCUACGGGAGGCAGCAGCU
rnacentral:rRNA from 1 species